UGCUGUGAGCUGAUGUCCUGAAGGGCUUUUAAAGAGUCUCUGAGUUUGACAGGAACAUGAAGAUGUUUGUGGUGUUUGUGAUCCUCCUGCACGUUUCCCAGCAUGCUCUGGCUGUGGUGGUGGAGGUGAAUGAGGGGGAAAGGUCUGUCCUUCUGUCCUGUCUGUACCCAGAUUAUAUACUUGAGGACAAUUCAACAGUGAUGUGGACUCGCAGUGACCUUGAUCCCAAAUCUGUCCACAUACGACGAGAAAUAGGAGACAAUCUUACAGGACAAAACCAGCGUUACAGCAGACGCACAUCAAUGAAUCGUUACGCUUUCAUCAUUAAAGACUUCAGCCUCACUCUGAGGAAACCCAUAAAGACUGACAGCGGCAACUACACCUGCUCCAUCAGUGCUCGAGGAAAAGAACGGAGACUCAGAGACAUCCAGCUGCAGGUCAAAGAACAGCAAGUGGAGGUGAAGGUGGAGAAAGGGGUACAGUCUGUCAUCCUGCCCUGCAAAACAAAACCUGACCUGCCCGAGGACACCACAGUAGAGUGGACUCGCUCUGACCUCGGACUCAUCAAAGUCCAUGAGUAUUCUAACAGAAAUGAUGACCUUAUAACUAAGGAUGAAGUUUACAGAGACCGAACGAAGAUGAAUGAAGAUCUGUUGAGAACUGGAGACCUCAGUCUGACCCUGAAACACCCCACAGUGAGGGACACAGGAGGAUACAUCUGCACCAUCUACAGGGACAAAGACAUCCUGAGACAGAAAGUCAUGCUGCAGGUCAAAAAACCAUUUCCAUCCUGGUUCAAAGAUCUUCUGGUUCUCCUGUUUGUCUUUGUGAUUUUUGGAGGUCUUUUAUAUUAUUUACGUCACUAUUACAUGUCAGAUUACCAGGUGGAGGUGGAUUCAGGGGUGGAGUCUGUCAAGCUGCCCUGCAAAACUAUAUUUAAAUUCCUAAAACACAUUAAAGUGGAGUGGAGGGACAGAAACAACAGGAAGGUCCACGUGUAUCACAAUGGCUCUGACCAGGUUAGAGAACAGCACCGGUUUUACAGAAACCGAACAGAGAUGAAGAGGAAUUUACUGAAACCUGGAGACCUCAGUCUGACCCUGACGUAUCCCACUGAUGAUGACAACUCCACCUACACCUGCACCGUCUACAGCAGGAAGGGAAACAUACUGGCAACGAAAAAUGUGCAGCUCCAUGUCAGAGUCCCCCAGGUGGAGGUGGAUUCAGGGGAGGCAUCUGUCCUGCUGCCCUGCAAAACUACUAUAAACCUGCUUAAAGAUGCUAAAGUGGAGUGGAUGACCAAAUUCAACAGGAAGGUCCACGUGUAUGAGACCGGAUCUGACCAGCUUGAAGAUCAGGACAACUAUUACAGAGACCGAACACUGAUGAAUAAAGACCUGCUGAAAACUGGAGACCUCAGUCUGACCCUGAAAUACCCCACAGACUGGGACACAGACAUCUACACCUGCACCGUCUACAACAGGGAGGGAAAAAUAAUCCUGAUGAAACAAGUGGAGCUGAAAGUCAGAGUCUGUCAUGUAGAGGUGGAGGAGGGGGCGGAGUCUGUCGAGCUACCUUUCAAAACCACAAAAGACCUGCCCGCAGAUGCUAAAGUGGUGUGGUGGAACAAUGAUGACAGGAAGGUCCACGUGUAUAAGAACGGCUCUGAUCAGCCUGGAGAACAGCACCAGGAUUACAGAAACCGAACAAAGAUGAAGAGAAGAUCUCUGCUGAAGUCUGGAGACCUCAGUCUGACCCUGGAACAGCCCACAGAGAGAGACAGCGGGAGGUACAGCUGUAGAGUCUACGGGGAGAUCAAGAGAUACAAAAGAGUGCUGCUUAGAGUCAAAGGGAGAGUUCGGGUCCAGUAUCACACAGCAGACAUCAGGAACAGAAGCAGCUCCAUUGAUCUGACUCCUCUGAUGGCUGAUCAAUCAGUUUGAUCUGUGUGUUUGUGCAUUUUUCUACCUUAAAUGUCCUGUAUAUUGACUGUUACCUGUAAUGCCACUUUCUGACCAACAGCUGGCACUCUUACAAAUACCAGAUCUGAUUUGACUGCAGUUAUAUCAGAGGAGGAAUGCUUGUCCAGUCACACCUGCAGUGACGUGUAACACUGAUCGCUAAUGAAUUGAUACACGUUACGUAUUAAGCAGAAUAUUGGGCUAUUAUUAAUCUGAAGAUUUAAGAACUGCUACUGGAGCUGAUGCUCAGUAAUAAAUAAAUACACACAACACAAAAUGCUUUUGCAGGUACCAUGUAUGUACAAAACCAAGGAAAAAUAAGGGAAGAAGAGGAAAGAUUUAAACAAUCACUCCUGCUGCAGUAGUUCAAUUAAAACCUUCAAUCAAAACAGUGACAACUAAAUAGUCCUGUAGUUUAGAUCAAGCAAAACAGAUUCUCAAGUUCAAUUAAAUUUCCUAUAAAUCACACACCACAAUAUCAAAAACACUGGUCCACACUGAAGAGGAAAUGUCCAUGAGUUUUAUCUGAGUGUCCAUGAUGUCCAAGCGCUAUUGUCCAUAAACGGGGGAAAUAAUGUGUAUGGUUGUGGAAAUCAGUGAAAUUUAAUAAUGAGUUCAGAGAGGGGGACAGAGCGUCAUCUUUGACAACUUCCUACCAGACCAAGCAGAAGUGGAAGCUUCAAUGCAAUCGAGUUGAUUUUGGUAAAUAUAUUUGAUCUGAAAACGUGAAAAACUUUGCUUUUCAUAAUGUAAAUAUCAUUACAGUAUAUAACUUUAGAAAUACUUCCUUUUGACUUAAAUUUAAUAAAAUAAAAAAAAAUGUAUUUUUAAAAUAAAGCACUCCAGCCUCUUCUGUUCCAUGUGAGAGGAUUUUCUCUAAGGCAGGAGAAAUUAUCUCCAAGAAAAGAAACAGACUCGGCCAUCACACAGCUGGUGUUCUUUAUUUUAUUUUGUACAACCAUUUAAAAAUACUACGAUAACUACAUGCGAGAACAAUCGGGU
ensembl:lncRNA